UGCACAUCAUUGAGAUAUUGUGAAGACGGAGAGCUGUUAUUUCUGGGUGAUUUUCUUACCUUGAUUAAACUUGCAUUGCAAUCUCAGAUUAUCAAAUCUCUCUGCAGAUCAGCUAUAAACUGGCAUGGUCCAGAAUCCCAGGCAUGUAGCAUCUCCUCACAGGACCUUGUUUGCUACUCCGAAAUUCUUGGACUGAAUGUGGGUUUCUGGAAACCAAGUAAUGUAAAUAGCCCUUCAGUAGGAAGAGGCAAAACCUGCAGGCUGUUCUCCCUGGGUCAAGUGCAGAGAAGCCAGGUCUCAUCCAUUCUUGGCACUCAAAGACCCACUGAUGUGCCUUAGGAGCACACCCCACAGGUCAGAAGCUCUGGAGUUCCCUGCUGAAUCAUGAAGUCCUGUGGGACCAUCCCUUCUUCUUCAUGGCUGCCAGUCACCUCCUCCCAGAACACCUUAUUGUGAAGAGGGUCCAUUGGGAAGGUGUCUUCUUGCUGUUGUCCUCUAGUGGCUGGACAAGAUGGGGAUGGCCUCCUGGAGCUAAGACAAAGGUAGACACUCCAACUGCCCAGGAUGUGGGAGGCAAUUGAAUGGGGUGCAGGAGUUCCUCCCAGAUCCCUAGACCCUGUGAAGAGCAUAUGGAUUAGAAGAUGCACAACUUGAAUCUAAAGGAUUUUUUUGAACAGUCUUCUGGAUGUUGAGUCUGUGCCUGGUGAGCUAAAAUAAACCAUGCUACCUA